GCCUGGGUGGUGGAAUUGGUAGACACAACGGACUUAAAAUCCGUUGGCAGUAGGCCGUGCGGGUUCGAGUCCCGCCCCAGGUACCA
rnacentral:tRNA from 1 species